CCCUUAGAUGUUCUGGGCCGCACGCGCGCUACACUGACUGGUGCAACGAGUUUAUAACCUUGGUCGAUGGGCCUGGGUAAUCUUUGAACGCCAGUCGUGAUGGGGAUAGAUUAUUGCAAUUAUUAAUCUUCAACGAGGAAUUCCUAGUAAACGCAAGUCAUCAGCUUGCAUUGAUUACGUCCCUGCCCUUUGUACACACCGCCCGUCGCACCUACCGAUUGAAUGGUCCGGUGAAGCCUCUGGAUCGAGACGUUUGGGGCAACCUGAGCGCUCACGAGAAGUUGGCUAAACCUUACCAUUUAGAGGAAGGUGAAGUCGUANCA
rnacentral:rRNA from 1 species